rnacentral:rRNA from 1 species
AACCUGCCCCAUAGUCUGGGAUACCACUUGGAAACAGGUGCUAAUACCGGAUAAGAAAGCAGAUCGCAUGAUCAGCUUUUAAAAGGCGGCGUAAGCUGUCGCUAUGGGAUGGCCCCGCGGUGCAUUAGCUAGUCGGUAAGGUAAAGGCUUACCAAGGCGAUGAUGCAUAGCCGAGUUGAGAGACUGAUCGGCCACAUUGGGACUGAGACACGGCCCAAACUCCUACGGGAGGCAGCAGCA